GAUGAACGCUGGCGGCGUGCCUAAUACAUGCAAGUCGAGCGAAUGGAUUAAGAGCUUGCUCUUAUGAAGUUAGCGGCGGACGGGUGAGUAACACGUAGGUAACCUGCCCAUAGGACUGGGAUAACUCCGGGAAACCGGGGCUAAUACCGGAUAACAUGUUGAACCGCAUGGUUCGAAAUUGAAAUGCGGCUUCGGCUGUUACUUAGGGAUGGACCGGCGUCGCAUUAGCUAGUUGGUGAGGUAACGGCUCACCAAGGCAACGAUGCGUAGCCGACCUGAGAGGGUGAUCGGCCACACUGGGACUGAGACACGGCCCAGACUCCUACGGGAGGCAGCAGUAGGGAAUCUUCCGCAAUGGACGAAAGUCUGACGGAGCAACGCCGCGUGAGUGAUGAAGGCUUUCGGGUCGUAAAACUCUGUUGUUAGGGAAGAACAAGUGCUAGUUGAAUAAGCUGACACCUUGACGGUACCUACCCAGAAAGCCACGGCUAACUACGUGCCAGCAGCCGCCGUAA
rnacentral:rRNA from 1 species